GAUGAACGCUGGCGGCGUGCCUAAUACAUGCAAGUCGAGCGAACGGACGAGAAGCUUGCUUCUCUGAUGUUAGCGGCGGACGGGUGAGUGACACGUGGAUAACCUACCUAUAAGACUGGGAUAACUUCGGGAAACCGUAGCUAAUACCGGAUAAUAUUUUGAACCGCAUGGUUCAAAAGUGAAAGACGGUCUUGCUGUCACUUAUAGAUGGAUCCGCGCUGCAUUAGCUAGUUGGUAAGGUAACGGCUUACCAAGGCAACGAUGCAUAGCCGACCUGAGAGGGUGAUCGGCCACACUGGAACUGAGACACGGUCCAGACUCCUACGGGAGGCAGCAGUAGGGAAUCUUCCGCAAUGGGCGAAAGCCUGACGGAGCAACGCCGCGUGAGUGAUGAAGGUCUUCGGAUCGUAAAACUCUGUUAUUAGGGAAGAACAUAUGUGUAAGUAACUGUGCACAUCUUGACGGUACCUAAUCAGAAAACCACGGCUAACUACGU
rnacentral:rRNA from 1 species